rnacentral:rRNA from 1 species
GAUGAACGCUAGCUACAGGCUUAACACAUGCAAGUCGAGGGGCAUCAGGAAGAAAGCUUGCUUUCUUUGCUGGCGACCGGCGCACGGGUGAGUAACACGUAUCCAACCUGCCCUUUACUCGGGGAUAGCCGUUCGAAAGAAAGAUUAAUACCCGAUGGCAUAAUGAUUCCGCAUGGUUUCAUUAUUAAAGGAUUCCGGUAAAGGAUGGGGAUGCGUUCCAUUAGGUUGUUGGUGAGGUAACGGCUCACCAAGCCUUCGAUGGAUAGGGGUUCUGAGAGGAAGGUCCCCCACAUUGGAACUGAGACACGGUCCAAACUCCUACGGGAGGCAGCAGUGAGGAAUAUUGGUCAAUGGGCGCUAGCCUGAACCAGCCAAGUAGCGUGAAGGAUGAAGGCUCUAUGGGUCGUAAACUUCUUUUAUAUAAGAAUAAAGUGCAGUAUGUAUACUGUUUUGUAUGUAUUAUAUGAAUAAGGAUCGGCUAACUCCGUGCCAGCAGCCGCGGUAAUACGGAGGAUCCGAGCGUUAUCCGGAUUUAUUGGGUUUAAAGGGAGCGUAGGUGGACUGGUAAGUCAGUUGUGAAAGUUUGCGGCUCAACCGUAAAAUUGUAGUUGAUACUGUCAGUCUUGAGUACAGUAGAGGUGGGCGGAAUUCGUGGUGUAGCGGUGAAAUGCUUAGAUAUCACGAAGAACUCCGAUUGCGAAGGCAGCUCACUGGACUGCAACUGACACUGAUGCUCGAAAGUGUGGGUAUCAAACAGG